rnacentral:rRNA from 1 species
UACGAAGGGGGCUAGCGUUGCUCGGAAUCACUGGGCGUAAAGGGUGCGUAGGCGGGUCUUUAAGUCAGGGGUGAAAUCCUGGAGCUCAACUCCAGAACUGCCUUGAUACUGAGGAUCUUGAGUACGGGAGAGGUGAGUGGAACUGCGAGUGUAGAGGUGAAAUUCGUAGAUAUUCGCAAGAACACCAGUGGCGAAGGCGGCUCACUGGCCCGUAACUGACGCUGAGGCACGGAAAGCGAUGGGGAGCAAACAGG